rnacentral:rRNA from 1 species
GAGCAUAUCAAUAAGCGGAGGAAAAGAAACCAACAGGGAUUGCCCUAGUAACGGCGAGUGAAGCGGCAACAGCUCAAAUUUGAAAUCUGGCUCUUUUAGGGUCCGAGUUGUAAUUUGCAGAGGGCGCUUUGGCGUUGGCAGCGGUCCAAGUUCCUUGGAACAGGACGUCACAGAGGGUGAGAAUCCCGUACGUGGUCGCUGGCCUUCGCCGUGUAAAGCCCCUUCGACGAGUCGAGUUGUUUGGGAAUGCAGCUCUAAAUGGGAGGUAAAUUUCUUCUAAAGCUAAAUACUGGCCAGAGACCGAUAGCGCACAAGUAGAGUGAUCGAAAGAUGAAAAGCACUUUGGAAAGAGAGUCAAAUAGCACGUGAAAUUGUUGAAAGGGAAGCGCUUGCAGCCAGACUUGCCUGUAGUUGCUCAUCUGGGCUUUUGUCCAGUGCACUCUUCUACAGGCAGGCCAGCAUCAGUUUGGGCGGUUGGAUAAAGGUCUCUGUCACGUACCUCCCUUCGGGGAGGCCUUAUAGGGGAGACGACAUGCAACCAGCCUGGACUGAGGUCCGCGCAUCUGCUAGGAUGCUGGCGUAAUGGCUGUAAGCGGCCCGUCUUGAAACACGGACCAAGGAGUCUAACAUCUAUGCGAGUGUUUGGGUGUCAAGCCCGGACGCGUAAUGAAAGUGAACGGAGGUGGGAACCCUUUUAGGGUGCACCAUCGACCGAUCCUGAUGUCUUCGGAAGGAUUUGAGUAAGAGCAUGGCUGUUGGGACCCGAAAGAUGGUGAACUAUGCUUGAAUAGGGUGAAGCCAGAGGAAACUCUGGUGGAGGCUCGCAG